AUUUACAGUUAUUAGUUUUGCCACUUUUCCCACAUCGGUGGAAAAAGUGGCAUGGGAGCCUUGAGGCUCCUAUAAAAGGAGUCUCAAGGCUCCAACAUAAACAUUAAGCUUGCCCAGUCGUUGAUGG